UUUGACAAGAGAGACCAACAGAAUAAGUACCAGGGUUAAUUUAUUUGACCAAAAUCCCUUCAAAGCAGUGCCCCAGUAUGGCCGCUGUCCAAUGACUGAAACAAGU